rnacentral:tRNA from 1 species
GCAGCGAUGGCUGGGUGGUAAAGGCGUUGGACUUAAGUUUCGAUGGACAGACGUCUGCGUGGAUUCGAACCCCAACUGCUGUA